GUAGGGUGCGAGCGUUAAUCGGAAUUACUGGGCGUAAAGCGUGCGCAGGCGGUUUUGUAAGCCAGAUGUGAAAUCCCCGGGCUCAACCUGGGAAUGGCAUUUGGGACUGCAAAGCUGGAGUGCGGCAGAGGGGACUGGAAUUCCUGGUGUAGCAGUGAAAUGCGUAGAGAUCAGGAGGAAUACCGAUGGCGAAGGCAGGUCCCUGGGUUGACACUGACGCUCAUGCACGAAAGCGUGGGGAGCAAACAGGAUUAGAUACCCUGGUAGUCCACGCCCUAAACGAUGUCGACUGGUUGUUGGGGGUUUGACACUCUCAGUAACGAAGCUAACGCGUGAAGUCGACCGCCUGGGGAGUACGGCCGCAAGGUUA
rnacentral:rRNA from 1 species